rnacentral:tRNA from 1 species
GCUCGGUUAGCUCAGUCGGUAGAGCAUUGGUCUUAUGAGCCAAGGGUCGUGAGUUCGAGCCUCACACCGAGCA